rnacentral:rRNA from 1 species
ACGGAGGGGGCUAGCGUUGUUCGGAAUUACUGGGCGUAAAGCGCACGUAGGCGGACUGGAAAGUCAGGGGUGAAAUCCCGGGGCUCAACCCCGGAACUGCCUUUGAAACUCCCAGUCUUGAGGUCGAGAGAGGUGAGUGGAAUUCCGAGUGUAGAGGUGAAAUUCGUAGAUAUUCGGAGGAACACCAGUGGCGAAGGCGGCUCACUGGCUCGAUACUGACGCUGAGGUGCGAAAGCGUGGGGAGCAAACAGG